UCCUCCAUUUGGCCUUUUGAACUGAGCCCUGGCGAUGUCACAGCCUUCCCUCACCUGAGCAGCUCGCUAGGUGCAGCUGCUGUGCCCGGCUGGGCCUCGAGAGCUCCGUAAGUGCGAGUGCUGGUGACAUCAUGCUCCCUAGGGUGUCAGCUAUUAGCUGCUAAAAAUAGCUCCAGGCACACACUGAGUAGAAAAAUCAAAUGUCUGUUUCAACCACUAGUGAAUGGGAAGGUAAAGAGAAAGCUCAGCAGAGGGGCUUUUUGCUUAAAUACGAGGGCAGCGUUGUUGUGCAGUGACCCUGGCAACUGCUGCAGGUGAUGCUUCAGGACUGUGAGCCGGGGAAGCCCACAGGGACAAGUUCAUCCCUGAUGUAAUUCCAGCACUGUGAUGGUAGCAUCGCACCUUUGCUCAUCACUGAGACUAUUCGCCACGAGAUUUCUGACUUCAGAAGAAGAGCAUCCACAUUAAAAAGAAAUCUGGAGACUGUCUAAUGUCUUCCUUUUUGUGAAGACGAAACCUAGCGAUGCAGUGUUUGCCUACAGGCGUCCUUUUUCCUGUGAACACAGAGAGCCCCGAAGAACAAAUAAACUUUUUUAAGUUGCUGAUCCUGCACGUUUGCAAAUUCAUUGGGAGAUUUGGCUCCCAUGUAAGGACAGAAGGAUCCGGCUCCUAGGGAAUAAACGUCAAAGAACAUGAAAAGAAAAGCCUUAGCAGGCACUGGGAUUGUAAGUACAAAGAGUGCUUCCAAACGGCAGUAGUGAAAACCACUGGGAGAUGUGGAAUGGUCUGACAGAAACAGUAAGAAUGAUGGUUCUGAGUCAGGCACUGAAUCAGGCAAAAAAAAAAAAAAAAAAAAAAAAAAAAAAAA